rnacentral:rRNA from 1 species
UACAGAGGUCCCAAGCGUUUGUUCGGAUUCAUUGGGCGUAAAGGGCGCGUAGGCGGCUCGGUAAGUAGGGGGUGAAAUCCUGCGGCUUAACCGCAGGGCUGCCUUCUAAACUGUCGAGCUCGAGCACGGUAGAGGCAGAUGGAAUUCCCGGUGUAGCGGUGGAAUGCGUUAGAGAUCGGGAAGAACAUCAGUGGCGAAGGCGGUCUGCUGGGCCGUUGCUGACGCUGAGGCGCGACAGCGGUGGGGAGCAAACGAGG